ACCUACCAUUCACAGAGAACUAGAAAUAUUAAGUAGGAAGCAACAUUCAUGCAUCCACCUGCCAGUCAACCUCCGAUCAAAUUUAAGCUUCAUUCUCAUCUCUGCCAAUCAACUCUCAUUAAUUUUAAGAAUGGUACCUUCACUCUCCUCUCUCGUAUGGCAAUUCCUCUGGCUUCCAGAAAUCUCUUCGGUAUAACAGAAUCGUGGGUUAAGCAAGCACAAGAAAUUACAACAGAAAGCAAGAAAAAGAGAAGCGUACAAGAGCAACGGCAGCUACGAGGCCAUAAAGAGCGGCGAGGAUGUGAAAGAUGCGAUCCUGCCAAACUGGCGAUUCGUUUAUCUCUAUCCACCAACUGGAGGCG